rnacentral:rRNA from 1 species
UAGGGAAUAUUGGGCAAUGGGGCGCAAGCCUGACCCAGCAACGCCGCGUGAGGGAAGAAGGUUUUCGGAUUGUAAACCUCUGUCCUAUGUGACGAAGGAAGUGACGGUAGCAUAGGAGGAAGCCCCGGCUAACUACGUGCCAGCAGCCGCGGUAAUACGUAGGGGCGAGCGUUGUCCGGAAUUACUGGGCGUAAAGGGUGCGUAGGCGGUUUGGUAAGUUGGAUGUGAAAUACCCGGGCUUAACUUGGGGGCUGCAUCCAAUACUGUCGGACUUGAGUGCAGGAGAGGAAAGCGGAAUUACCGGUGUAGCGGUGAAAUGCGUAGAGAUCGGUAGGAACACCAGUGGCGAAGGCGGCUUUCUGGACUGAAACUGACGUUGAGGCGCGAAAGCGUGGGAGCAAACAGGAUUAGAUACCCUGGUAGU